UUCCGGUUGGUUGAAAAAGUGCUUCCGGUGUCGCGCGGGGCCCUAGCUUUUGACUGUCGGCUUGUUCCCGCGAACGGUCGCUGAGAGGGACCCAAGGCUGAACGCUUGCUGUCUACAUCCAGAAGUUGAAGGUUUAUUUUGAACAUAUGUUACAAAUAUGGCUGUGUCUCUUAUUAUAAAAUGGGGUGGGCAGGAAUUUUUGAUAACCACCUUGUCAGAAGAAGACACAGUACUGGAUCUCAAGCAGUCUCUCAAAGGACUUACGGGAGUGUUACCCGAGCGCCAAAAGCUUCUUGGGCUUAAAGUGAAAGGCAAACCAGCAGAAAAUGACGUCAAGCUUGGUUCAUUAAAACUGAAACCUAAUACUAAAAUCAUGAUGAUGGGGACUCGUGAGGAAAGCUUGGAAGAUGUCCUUGGGCCACCCCCUGAUAAUGAAGAUGUAGUUAAUGAUUUUGAUAUUGAAGAGGAGGUUGUUGAGGUAGAAAACAGGGAAGAGAAUCUGUUAAAAAUCUCCCGCAGAGUUAAGGAGUACAAAGUGGAAAUAUUGAAUCCUCCACGGGAAGGGAAGAAAUUGUUGGUCCUAGAUGUUGAUUACACACUGUUUGAUCACAGGUCAUGUGCAGAAACUGGGAUUGAGCUGAUGAGGCCAUACCUUCACGAGUUCCUGACAUCUGCAUAUGAAGACUAUGAUAUUGUGAUCUGGUCUGCUACUAACAUGAAGUGGAUUGAAGCUAAAAUGAAAGAGCUGGGAGUGAGCACCAAUGCCAACUACAAGAUUGCCUUCAUGUUGGAUAGUGCUGCCAUGAUAACUGUGCACACUCCAAGAAGAGGAUUAAUUGAUGUGAAACCUCUAGGGGUCAUAUGGGGCAAAUUUUCAGAGUUUUACAGCAAGAAAAAUACUAUUAUGUUUGAUGACAUUGGACGGAAUUUUCUGAUGAACCCACAAAAUGGACUAAAGGUUUUUACAGCACAGUCUUACACAUAUCUGCACAGAAAUAAAGCCCUUCAUGAAAGCACAUUUAAACAGAGAUAAAGAUAAGGAACUUUUUAAACUUACUCAGUAUCUCAAGGAAAUAGCAAAAUUAGAUGACUUUUUGGAAUUGAACCACAAACACUGGGAAAGGUACCUUUCAAAGAAGCAAGGCCAGUAGCUUUAAUUUGUGGCACUGAAACCAGAUGGAACUUAGAGACCCUCUGACCUUUCCUCCUGUGUAAGCUAGAAUAAAGUAGUGCUGGACACUGACUUAACAACCAGAAUGACUGCUUAUACCUGGUCUUCCUUUUGGUUUGCUAUAGGUCUCUAUGUAUAUCUCUCUGUCUUCUGAAGGUCACUGCGAACAACAGAAAGUAAAACUGGUUGCAUUUAUCUCUGGUAUUACCAUUUAAAUCAAUGCCACUUGUUCUGCUAUUGUAGUAUUCUCCAAAUUAUAAAGACCAUGUUGCUUUGAAGUAGGGGAAGAAGCAUAGUUUCAGACCAAAAAAAACCCCAGCUCAGACCCAGAAGUUUUAUUGUGGAGACAGUAUUGGCAUCUUCCGUGAUUAAAACAGUUUCCCUUCCCUGUUAAGGUAUUUAAGUCUAUGAAGUAUAAACUGUCUAAUUAUGUAUUAGUCUGUCAAGUGUUUCUUUUGUGCAAGACAGUUUUAAGGGUGCAAUGCACCACUAGAGGGCAAAGAUGCUUUCAUGUGUAGAACUCAGUGAUAAAACUGUGAUGAGAAGACAGGAAAAGUUUUUUUUUUAAAAAAAACAUUCAUGCUUGGUUGGAAAGCAUUUCUUUUCUUCUUAACAAAAAUAUUUCUAACCAUAGGAAAGGUUGAAUCAGAAGAGAGCCAAAGGCUAGCUCUUUACUGCAUGAGCAGUAGUUGUGUCUUGUUAGGAUACAAGCUCUCUUGAUAGCAGUCACCGUUGUUCUAAAGUAUCACUUAACACGUGCAGCUUCAACCUCCAGUAUGGAGUUGUAAUGUGCACAGUGUCUUGCAUUGCCGACAGUCCCUCUUCAUGCCGCUCAUGUAUUUGAAAACAGAAUUCUUCUUUCAAAUGAAGAUAGCAUAUAUUGUUCUUAUGGAGCUAUAGCAGGUGCACUAAUAAUAAUAAUAAUAAUAAUAAUAAUAAUAAUAAUAAUAAUAAU